CUGUCCCCUCAGGUUGGUCUCUCUCCUCCUGUCAGUAUCUAACCUGUCCCCUGACUCAGGUUGGUCUCUCUCCUCCUGUCAGUAUCUAACCUGUCCCCUGACUCAGGUUGGUCUCUACUCCUCCUGUCAGUAUCUAACCUGUCCCCUCAGGUUGGUCUCUCUCC